rnacentral:rRNA from 1 species
GAUCAUGGCUCAGGAUGAACGCUGGCGGCGUGCUUAACACAUGCAAGUCGAACGAAGCACUUUAAUUGAUUUCUUCGGAAUGAAGUUUUUGUGACUGAGUGGCGGACGGGUGAGUAACGCGUGGGUAACCUGCCUCAUACAGGGGGAUAACAGUUGGAAACGACUGCUAAUACCGCAUAAGCGCACGGGAUUGCAUGAUCCAGUGUGAAAAACUCCGGUGAUAUGAGAUGGACCCGCG